AUACUUACCUGGACGGGGUCAAUGGGCGAUCAAGAAGACUCAUGGCCUAGGUUAGUGACCUCCAUUGCACUUCGGAGGGGUGCUGGCCUAAGGUCUCCCCAAAGCUGGGAGAGCCUACGUCAUAAUUUGUGGUAGUGGGGGCCUGCGUUCGCGCGGCCCCUGU
rfam:Ricinus communis cultivar Hale ctg_1100012360635, whole genome shotgun sequence.